UUUAAACACUUUUUAAAGUAUCAAUUGGAGGGCAAGUCUGGUGCCAGCAGCCGCGGUAAUUCCAGCUCCAAUAGCGUAUAUUAAAAUUGUUGCAGUUAAAAAGCUCGUAGUUGAAUUUCUGUUAAAAAUAACCGGUCUGCUUUUAUUAAAAGUGGUAUCUUGGUGUGUUUUUAGCAAUAAUGUCCUUGAAAUGUUUUUUACUUUAUUGUAAUAAGUCAUUAUUUUGAGGAUUUUUACUUUGAGAAAAUUAGAGUGUUUCUAGCAGGCUUACGCUUUUGAAUACUGCAGCAUGGAAUAAUAAGAUAGGAUUUUAGUUCUGCAUUAUUGGUUUUAAGAACUAAAUUAAUGAUUGAUAGGGAUAGUUGGGGGCAUUUGUAUUUAACUGUCAGAGGUGAAAUUCUUAGAUUUGUUAAAGACAAACUACUGCGAAAGCAUUUGCCAAAGAUGUUUUCAUUAAUC
rnacentral:rRNA from 1 species